rnacentral:lncRNA from 1 species
UUGCUGUGGCUGCGGUGUAGGCCAGCAGCUACGGCUCCGAUUUGACCCCUAGCCUCGGAACUUCCAUAUGCCACAUGUGCGGCCCUAAAAAGACAAAAAAAAAAAAAAAAAAAAAAAAAAAAAAGCCAACCCCAAACAAAACAAAAACCUCUAUCAGCUGUCCAAGGCUAAUGCAGCCAUCUGGGCUGGAGUAGGGAUUCAGAACAGAUUCUAGUUGUUGUUAGAGGGGUGGCCACCAGAGGGCGCUGUAGCACCCACAGAGCUCACCUGCAGCUCCCAGUUCCUAAGGCCAGACUCAGAGAUGCAGUUGGAGAUGGGUUUGGUAGAACCCUCAGGAUGAGCCCAGAGAGGAGGGACUGGUUAUAAUGUGUGAUUGUCGCUCCCGCCCAAAUUGCCUGCCCUCACGGAGGGGAUGUAGGACCAACCUUGAGAUACCUGACUUAACUUGAGGCUUCAAUUUUCAUGCUACAGGUUUGUCUCCGUGUUGGCAUGUGGAAAAUUGGGGUUGGAGGUCUUGAAAAUGGAGUGGGUAAACGUGGUAGUGUUUUGGAGGGUGAUCAGUGAUCAUCCCUGUGGCCUGUUGGUAAUUUUCUCCAACUUCCUUCUUUUUCCAUCUGAGCAUCUUCUUCCUUUAUGGUGCCUCUGUUAGGGUUACCAGUUAAAACCCAGUGAAGCUAUAAAGUAGUGGGGCUUAUUGUUUAAAACGUUGUUCAUGGAGCUAAAGGAUACUGAUUUAUUUAAAGCUGGAUCAGGAGACUAAGAAGCAGAAUGACUGAGUGAUCUAAGGUAGUCAGAUGGGGUUGGCUGCGGUGAUUGCCCUCGGGGAGCUUAAAAGAGUCCUAGCCUUCUCUGAAAAUGCUCAGAGGGAGUGGAGGAAGGAAAUCAAGCUGGCAGGUGCCUAAGGCCAGUUCAACCCCCUGGCCUGGGGUGGGAGUCAGAACAGGUAAGAGUUGUUGUUAGAGACGAUGGCCGCCAGAGGGCACCAUAGCACUGGCAGAGCCCACCCUGUCUCUACUUACAGGCUCAGAGAUGGGGUUGGAGGUGGAUUUGGCAAAAACCCCAGGAUGUGCCCAGAGAGGAGGGGUUGGUUACAAUGUGUGAUUGUCGCUCCAGCGCAAAUUGCCUCACCUCACAGAAGGGCAGAGAUGUCCCCUCAGCAUGUGCUGGGGCACUUCUAGCCUGGUCAGGUGGUCCAGUGGCCAGUUUGACAGGCUGUCUGUUGUCUCACUGCCCUAAUUUUUCCCAGAGGCAGGACUCUGGACCUUAAAAUACCCGGCUUAACUUUGGGAUUGUAGUUUUCAGUGUAUAGGUUUUUCUCCAUGUUGUCAUGUUGCAAAACGGGGCUGGUGUUCUUAAAGUUAAGGGGUGUCAAAGCAGUACUAUUUUGGAAGGCGGGCAUUGCUCAUUUCUGUGCAUUUUUCUCUUCAGAAUCCCUUCUAUCUUCCUUCUUCCCUAUCUAUCCAAGCCUCUUCUCCUCAACUGACCCCCUGUUAGGAGGACUUCCCUAAAAUUAGGUCAGGUGUAUAAAGCAUUGGGGGUUAUUGAUUAAAAGGUGAGUCAGAGGGUAAAGAGUGCAGAUUGAUUUAAAGGCAGCUCAGGAGGCUUAAGAAGUGGGGUGGCUGGAGUUCCCGUCAUGGCGCGGUGGUUAGCGAAUCCAGCUAGGAACCACAAGGUUGCGAGUUCGGUCCCUGGCCUUGCUCAGUGGGUUAAAGGAUCUGGCGUUGCCGUGAGCUGUGGUGUAGGUUGCAGACGCGGCUCGGAUCCCACGUUGCUGUGGCUCUGGCCUCACGCGGGAUCCAAGCCACGUCUGCAACCUACACCACAGCUCACGGCAACGCCGGAUCGUUAACCCACUGAGCAAGGCCAGGGAUCAAACCCGAAACCUUAUAGUUCCUAGUUGGAUUCGUUAACCACUGAGCCACAAUGGGAACUCCUUGAGUACAAAUUCUUUAUCAGCUGUAUGUUUUGCACAUAUCCCCCCGCCUUUUUUUUCCGCUUGUCUUUGGUUUUCUGAAGAAGACAUCUCACUGAGAAGUUUUUAAUUUUAUAAAGUACAUUUUAUUAACUUUUUUCCUUUUGUGUGUUGGCUUUUUGUGUUGUGUGUUAAAAAGUCAAAGCCCGGAGUUCCCAUCAUGUUGCAGCGAAAACAAAUCUGACUAGGAACCAUGAGGUUUCGGGUUUGAUCCCUGGCCUCGCUCAGUGGGUUAAGGAUCUGGUGUUGCCAUGAGCUGUGGUGUAGGUUGCAGACACGGCUCAGAUCUGGUAUUGCUGUGGCUCUGGUGUAGGCUGACAGCUGUAGCUCCGAUUGGACCCCUAGCCUGGGAACUUCCAUAUGCCGGGGGUGCGGCCCCAAAAAAACAAAAAAAAAAAAAAAAAAAAAAAA